CCAUACAAUAAGCGGAGGAAAAGAAACCAACAGGGAUUGCCUCAGUAACGGCGAGUGAAGCGGCAACAGCUCAAAUUUGAAACCUGCCAACCGGCCGGAUUGUAAUUUGUAGAGGAUGCUUUGGAGUCAGCACUGAUCUAAGUUUCUUGGAACAGUACGUCACAGAGGGUGAGAAUCCCGUUCGUGGUCGGCUGCUGGCUUCGUGUAAAGCUCCUUCGACGAGUCGAGUUGUUUGGGAAUGCAGCUCAAAAUGGGUGGUAAAUUUCAUCUAAAGCUAAAUAUUGGCCAGAGACCGAUAGCGCACAAGUAGAGUGAUCGAAAGAUGAAAAGCACUUUGGAAAGAGAGUUAAACAGCACGUGAAAUUGUUGAAAGGGAAGCGCUUGCAAUCAGACUUGCGCGUAGGUAAUCAAGGGCGGUUCGCUGCCCUGCACUUGCCUGCGCUCAGGCCAGCAUCAGUUUUGGGGGUGGGAUAAAGGCCGUGGGAAUGUGGCUCUUCGGAGUGUUAUAGCCCUCGGUGCCAUGCCGCCUCCCGAGACUGAGGACCGCGCUUCGGCUAGGAUGCUGGCGUAAUGAUUGUAAGCGACCCGUCUUGAAACACGGACCAAGGAGUCUAACAUCUAUGCGAGUGUUUGGGUGUCAAACCCACACGCGGAAUGAAAGUGAACGGAGGUGAGAGCCCUUGAGGGUGCAUCAUCGACCGAUCCUGAUGUCUUCGGAUGGAUUUGAGUAUGAGCAUAGCUGUUGGGACCCGAAAGAUGGUGAACUAUGCCUGAAUAGGGUGAAGCCUAGAGGAAACUCUGGUGGAGGCUCGCAGCGGUUCUGACGUGCAAAUCGAUCGUCAAAUUUGGGCAUAGGGGCGAAAGACUAAUCGAACCAUCUAGUAGUGGUUCCUGCCAAUC
rnacentral:rRNA from 1 species